AUUGAACGCUGGCGGAAUGCUUUACACAUGCAAGUCGAGCGGCAGCGCGGGGCAACCUGGCGGCGAGCGGCGAACGGGUGAGUAAUGCAUCGGAACGUGUCCAUGUCGUGGGGGAUAGCCCGGCGAAAGCCGGAUUAAUACCGCAUACGCCCGAGAGGGGAAAGUGGGGGACCGCAAGGCCUCACGCGAUUGGGUCGGCCGAUGUCCGAUUAGCUAGUUGGCGGGGUAAAGGCCCACCAAGGCGAUGAUCGGUAGCUGGUCUGAGAGGAUGAUCAGCCACACUGGGACUGAGACACGGCCCAGACUCCUACGGGAGGCAGCAGUGGGGAAUUUUGGACAAUGGGGGCAACCCUGAUCCAGCCAUUCCGCGUGAGUGAAGAAGGCCUUCGGGUUGUAAAGCUCUUUUGUCCGGAACGAAACGGGUAGCGUGAAUAUCGCUGCCUACUGACGGUACCGGAAGAAUAAGCACCGGCUAACUACGUGCCAGCAGCCGCGGUAA
rnacentral:rRNA from 1 species